GAGGGCCCGGCGCUGCCCGGCCGGGGCAUGGAGCAAACCUGAGGGCCGCCCUGGGCAGGGGGUGCUGGGAAGGUGGAAUCCGCGGGGUUCUGCCGAGAGGAACGGCUCGUGUGUUAUGCCAUCAGAUCCAACGAAAAGACGCAAAACCCUUUCUCACCAUGUGGGCUCUGAAGAAGCAGUGAGGGCCGCGUGGGACUGAGGACACUGGAGUCCCAUCAGCACAGGAACAGGAGAAAGGCACAGCAAGGUCACCUUCCAGCUCUGAGCUGGUGCAGAAGAUGGAGGAGCGGUGCAGAAGGCAGGUGGGACUGGAGACCCUGCAGGUACUGGCAAGUAUCAGCGCUCUGGCCCCGCUGUCUACAGCCUUAUCCAUUUGGCGCCUGCUCCAGCCCUCUCACAUUACCAGCAGUGGGGUCUGUUUUCAGCUGUGAAAAGCUCCGUCCUUCUCACCAACUAUAGCAGUUUAUCCCUGCAGCGGCUGCUGACGUCUUUCCAUGCAGAAUUAAUGGUCUUCAAUCCAGUCUUCAGGCUGCUGAGCUCCUCCUUUUGUACAGUCCUUUUCCAGAAGCACAUCUCUGACUUAUGCAGCUUGACAAAAUCCUAAACCUGCAGUCUCCUUGUCCUCCUGUUAAAUGGCUUGCAUGCGUCUCCAUCCUCAC
ensembl:lncRNA